rnacentral:rRNA from 1 species
GACAUAGGUGGCGAACGUUAUCCGGAUUUAUUGGGUUUAAAGGGUGCGUAGGUGGUCUAUUAAGUCAGUGCUGAAAUAUCCCGGCUUAACCGGGAGGGUGGCAUUGAUACUGAUGGACUUGAGUGGAGUCGAGGUAGGCGGAAUUGACGGUGUAGCGGUGAAAUGCUUAGAUAUCGUCAAGAACACCGAUAGUGCAGACAGCUUACUAGGCUCUAACUGACACUGAGGCACGAAAGUGUGGGGAUCAAACAGG